AUUGAACGCUGGCGGCAGGCUUAGCACAUGCAAGUCGAGCGGGGUGAUGGUGCUUGCACUAUCACUUAGCGGCGGACGGGUGAGUAAUGCUUAGGAAUCUGCCUAUUAGUGGGGGACAACAUCUCGAAAGGGAUGCUAAUACCGCAUACGUCCUACGGGAGAAAGCAGGGGAUCACUUGUGACCUUGCGCUAAUAGAUGAGCCUAAGUCGGAUUAGCUAGUUGGUGGGGUAAAGGCCUACCAAGGCGACGAUCUGUAGCGGGUCUGAGAGGAUGAUCCGCCGCACUGGGACUGAGACACGGCCCAGACUCCUACGGGAGGCAGCAGUGGGGAAUAUUGGACAAUGGGGGGAACCCUGAUCCAGCCAUGCCGCGUGUGUGAAGAAGGCCUUAUGGUUGUAAAGCACUUUAAGCGAGGAGGAGGCUCUUUUGGUUAAUACCCAAGAUGAGUGGACGUUACUCGCAGAAUAAGCACCGGCUAACUCUGUGCCAGCAGCCGCCGUAA
rnacentral:rRNA from 1 species